rnacentral:rRNA from 1 species
AACGAACGCUGGCGGCAUGCCUAACACAUGCAAGUCGAACGGCAGCACGGACUUCGGUCUGGUGGCGAGUGGCGAACGGGUGAGUAAUAUAUCGGAACGUGCCCAGUCGUGGGGGAUAACGUAGUGAAAAUUACGCUAAUACCGCAUACGAUCUACGGAUGAAAGCGGGGGAUCGCAAGACCUCGCGCGAUUGGAGCGGCCGAUAUCAGAUUAGGUAGUUGGUGGGGUAAAGGCUCACCAAGCCAACGAUCUGUAGCUGGUCUGAGAGGACGACCAGCCACACUGGGACUGAGACACGGCCCAGACUCCUACGGGAGGCAGCAGUGGGGAAUUUUGGACAAUGGACGCAAGUCUGAUCCAGCCAUUCCGCGUGCAGGACGAAGGCCUUCGGGUUGUAAACUGCUUUUGUACAGAACGAAAAGGUUUCUAUUAAUACUAGGAGCUCAUGACGGUACUGUAAGAAUAAGCACCGGCUAACUACGUGCCAGCAGCCGCGGUAA